AUUGAACGCUGGCGGCAGGCCUAACACAUGCAAGUCGAACGAGCGGCGGACGGGUGAGUAUUGUAUGGGGAUCUGCCCGAUAGAGGGGGAUAACUACUGGAAAAGGUGGCUAAUACCGCAUACUAUCGGAUGAACCCAUAUGGGAUUAGCUAGUGGGUGGGGUAAAGGCGCACCUAGGCGACGAUCUCUAGCUGGUCUGAGAGGAUGAUCAGCCACACUGGGAUUGAGACACGGCCCAGACUCCUACGGGAGGCAGCAGUGGGGAAUAUUGCACAAGUGGCGCAAGCCUGAUGCAGCCAUGCCGCGUGUAGGAAGAAGGCCUUAGGGUUGGAAAGUACUUUCAGCGGGGAGGAGGUACCCGCAGAAGAAGCACCGGCUAACUCCGUGCCAGCCGCCGCGGUAAUAC
rnacentral:rRNA from 1 species